CCCCUGCAAACCUGAGUAGUGAACCCCGUAUUCCUUCAUCUGUAUCAGUUGACGUACGGUUUGAAGUUCGUCACUGAUGACAGAAUAAAAAUAUGGAAGCUAUCGUUUUUUGUGGUCAAAGGUAAUCUGGAUGUAAGCAAUCACACUUCACCAAAGUCCCAGUGUUGUCUCCACUGGAGUAUUGUGAUGACCUUUUCCAAAUCUGACCACCUGAUUAUCAAUAAACUCCACAAGUGCUUGCUUGCAAAUGAGGGUCUGCUUGGAGCAGAUAAGGCACACCCAGCCAAGGACUGAGGGCACCGAAUCAACCGGGAGUAAAAAAAAAGGAAGAGGAAAAGCCCCUAAAGGAAACAACAAGACAUCCAGCUCCCACGCCG